AAUUUGUUUCUAUUCCUACAUGAAGCAUACAAAUGUCCAACUUAGAUAAGACAAUCAAAUCAUGCAUUUUCAUCUCAAUCAAAAGCAUCAACGAAAUUGAUCAUAAGAACCAAAUUGAAACUUCCUUUUCAAUCUGAUUCAUGUGCACAGAGAUUGAACACAUGCCAAAAAGAAAAUUGGAGAGCUUCACUGUGGCAUCUAUACCAAGAAAUAACUCAAGCUUUAACACUUAUUUCUUUCUCCAACCCCUCCCCCUCCAGCUCCUUAACUGCUCUUAUAAGGCCUCUUGUGAUCCCAUUUAGAUGAAGACCAUCCUCCUUCAUUUUCUCCAACAGCUUCUCUGCUGUUUCCCAAUCUAAGGCCUUUAAGCAUAGAGAUUGGAUCAACUUAUUGUACUCGUCUACAUUAGGUUGGACCCCAAAUUCCUUCAUCUCUGCUAAUAACUCCAAAGCUUUGUCAAAUUGUUCAAGUUUGCAAUAACCUCUAAUAAGUGUAUGGUAAGUCACAGGACUCAACUUAGAGUACUUCUUUUUGGCUUCAGAGAGUAUUUUGCAAGCCUCCUCCAUCUGACCACCACUUACAUAACCACUCAUAAUAACCGUAUAAGUGAAAAGAUCUGGUUUCAGUCCCCUCCUUUCCAUCAAAUUUUUCAUCUCUAUUGCCUCUUCCAUAUCUCCACACUUGGAAUAACCAUUGAUAAUGGAAUUGAAAACAGCAUUUCCAGGAGGUGGCCCCUCAUCAAUCAUCUUAGUUAGUAACAUUUUUACCCCGUAAAAAUCUUUGAUCCUACACAAACCACGAAUAACAGAUGAAAAGGGCUUGAUUGCAUACUUCCGUGUUUCUCCAGAGAAUGAAUCCAACAUAUCCAAAGACAAAUUGACUGUUUCAUCUUUCUGUGAGAGCAAACUGAUCAAAAAAUUGACCGCAGACUGAGGUGGAUGCUUUUUCUUCUCCUUUGCCAGCAUAUAAAUCACAUGGGCAUCACUUGCCCUGCUCCCUUUACAAAACCAAUUGAUAAUCUUACCAAUUUUCUCACUGUCUGGCAGGGNNNNNNNNNNNNUUCUCACAAACUGACCAAGCCCAGUCAAAAAAGGAUCGCCUACUAAGGGCUUCAAUUGUAUAAUAGUAGGUCUCUGAAUCCGGGACACACCCAAAGUCCUCAAACUUGUUGAAAACCUCUAAAGCCGCCUUCCCUUUUCCCAGCUUCGAAAACAAAGCUAUCAACCGAUUAAGCAUCUCCACAUUCAGCACAACAUUAUCCUUCUUAGCAACCUCCAUAAUUAAAUCCCACAAUGCAUAUGCAUCUUUCUUUCUAAGGUCACCACAAAUAGCUCGAACAAGCACAUCAACUACGUCGGUAGUCACAUUGAUAUCUGGCUCCUUAAUCGCCCACUUGAAAAACCUAAUCAAAUUAUCACCCAAAACAAAAGGGGUUUCAAGCACUUUCAUUAAAAACUCCUCGUGUAAAUCCAAACCCAUACUAUCAAGACUUGAUUCUAAGGACCCGUCAGCACUACUCUGUAACAAAGACAACACAUUCUCUAAUUUCUCCAUAUCUAUCUCAUAAACCCCUGCCUCUUCUUUUCCACCCUCACCUUCCUCAACUAAACCCCUAAAAAGCUGAUCAGGCGUGCCAAUGUUAUCACUCACAGAAGCAAAAUUCUCAAUCUGGUAAUCGCCAUUUUCACCUAAAGCCUGUGAAAACUGCUCUGAUAAACCAUCAGCAUCUCCUUCAGAAGCAAAACUCUGGAUUUGGGUAUCACUAUUUUCCCUGAAAAAUGCUGAAGAAUCGUUCGCAGGGCCGAAUUGGUCGACGUUCACGGACGAGUUUGAGAGAAAUCUAAAGUUUGGAUAAGGAAGCAAGGAAACCCUAACCUUGUCGGGGUUUCUGGUUACACCAAAAUUCCGUGCCAACUGUUUGGAUGUAGCAGCUAUGGAUCUCCACAUCUCUCAGCUCUGCGUGUGUAUGAUAGAGUGAGCUCUGUGAAACGUGAGUACCAGAAGGACAAAACCCUAGAAUGG
rnacentral:misc_RNA from 1 species